AGUAACACUUUCUAAUGAUGUUCCUUUUUUAAAUAUUUUAAAAGAGUAAUAUCAAUUUAAUAUGCUUAGAAGUAUGACAAAGCAUAAUUAUAUUUAAAUUAUUACAUAGAAAUACAAAUAUUAAAUGACAAUUUAUGAAAUAUUUCAGCGUAUACCAAUCUUAUGAAACUAAAUACCAAAUCAUUCAUAAAUUUAAUCUAUCAUGACUUUAACACGUACACAUCGUUUACGAAUACAAACUGCUUUAAAUGAUUUCCAACAAGGAAGACAUAAACAAUCAGCAUCUUGUGUACAUUUAAAUCUAGUCGCUGUAAAAAAAGAGAAUAAAACAACUUAAAUAAUAUAUGAAAAAUAUAAUAUAUGAAUUAAAGAAUUAAGUUUAUUAAGAAUAAAAAGUACUUACCUUCAAUGUUCAGUGCAAGGGGAAUUAUGAAAAAAAAUAUAAUUAUAGCCGAAACAAACUUAGAAACUAGAGCCAUUUAUUCCUUUGUACAUGUAACAAAUUGUUCUAUCAUUUUAUAAUUUGUAAAGUCCUAUCAUCUCCUUACAUCAAUUAAGUAGUUUUUAGCGUUUAUAUAUGCCGCAUUCUUUUAAUAAUAAUAG
rnacentral:lncRNA from 1 species